AUGUGCAUUGCCUAUGCCUCUAGUGUGUUGCAUCUUCGCUCCACUGAUUUGCACGACAUGAUUGAUAUGCUUGCUUCGUGUAGUGCAUCACCCAUUAUUCACACUUUCUCAUGUCAUGCGGUUGAUAGCCACUAUUGCCAUGCUUUGCAUAUGAUUGCUAUUGCUUCUUGUCAUAUAUCUUCAUGUGUUGCCUCUCUUAUGCUAAAUAAUUUUUCAUGUAUUGAGUGUAACAAUUAUUCUAGUCUUGGUAAUGAGAUUGCCCCCAUAGCAUUUUCUCUCUUAUAUAUAUAUAUAUGGAGAUUUUGA
rnacentral:rRNA from 1 species